GUGAAAAGCACCCUUCCCAAAACGCACCCUCAGAGCCUCGUUUUUUGAUCUUGCUCUUGCAGAAUUCGCACUUCGUUUGCUAAAGGAUUCAAGCUUUCGAUACCGGACCGGUGCACUGUCUCUCGCUUUUAUCCAAACUAUUGACGGCUAAUGCAAAAAGGAUGAAGAAGCAGAAGCCUUGAUCUUUCUCCUCAUGAAAAACUGAGAUAAAGCCAACAGCGAAACGUAUAAUAUACGAGUUGAGUCAACCAAUAAGUUCCUUCUACGAAGAUCCUCAUUAAUAAUUACAGCAAGUGAGGAUACUGGGCUCAAUCAACAAUCACAUGAAACUUUCUUAGUGGAAACAGUUGUGGAGGACUGAAAAGCAGCGAAGAAUCUGCCGACUGAAAAUGGAGGAGCAAAUGGGAAAGGAAGAUUGCUGGAACUUGCUAGCAUGAGAACAACUGAUGACAUGGUGGGCCUAUCUUGUGGGUUCUCUUGAACACAUAGAAGCCCAAUGUGGAUCCAUCUCAAAGCUUCAUCCUUGUCCAGGCAAGUGUUGACCAAUUGACGCUCCGCAAGUUCAAGUCCUUUGCCUUCAUUCCAGAGUCGCCAUGCCUGUUCAAACUCUCAUAGAGGCGAAAUGAGGUUUUCUUUUCCACGAACAAUUGUUGGUUUGAAAGGAAACAUCACCCCUGCAGAGGUAGAGACCAUAAAGAUUACGCGAAAAACCUUUGUAAAAGCUGUGAAGGGAUGAUUUAGAAGACAAAGAAUUCAAGAGGAAAGUGAGGUUGAUUUUGAAUUUUGCAUAAUCUCUGCUAUUAGAUGGAUGAUUACAGGCCUCUUUGAGGUAGGUUAUCUGGGAGUUAUGAGGGAUGAUAAACGCAGAAACUGAGAAUAAAACCAGAAGAAAAUUUCUCCAGUUUAGGGAGUGAAACAUUUUCACUUUAGGCUUCUCCGGCUAAUUUGCUGGGAUAAAUGUGAAGCUUUUCACUAAUGAGAGAAGUACAGGGAGUGCAUGUAUGUCUCUUUCAGCUCCAUGUUGCCUUUAGGAAACACCCAAAUGUUUGUUGUGUUUAUUUAUAGUAUGUACAACUGCCAAUGCUUCAUUGAAUACGAACUGAACCAA